rnacentral:rRNA from 1 species
GAUGAACGCUGGCGGCGUGCCUAAUACAUGCAAGUCGAGCGAACAGACGAGGAGCUUGCUCCUCUGACGUUAGCGGCGGACGGGUGAGUAACACGUGGAUAACCUACCUAUAAGACUGGGAUAACUUCGGGAAACCGGAGCUAAUACCGGAUAAUAUAUUGAACCGCAUGGUUCAAUAGUGAAAGACGGUUUUGCUGUCACUUAUAGAUGGAUCCGCGCCGCAUUAGCUAGUUGGUAAGGUAACGGCUUACCAAGGCAACGAUGCGUAGGCGACCUGAGAGGGUGAUCGGCCACACUGGAACUGAGACACGGUCCAGACUCCUACGGGAGGCAGCAGUAGGGAAUCUUCCGCAAUGGGCGAAAGCUUGACGGAGCAACGCCGCGUGAGUGAUGAAGGUCUUCGGAUCGUAAAGCUCUGUUAUUAGGGAAGAACAAAUGUGUAAGUAACUAUGCACGUCUUGACGGUACCUAAUCAGAAAGCCACGGCUAACUACGUG